UGCCAGUAGUCAUAUGCUUGUCUCAAAGAUUAAGCCAUGCAUGUCUAAGUUCACACUGUAGCACGGUGAAACCGCGAAUGGCUCAUUAAAUCAGUCGAGGUUUACUAGAUGAAAAGUAUCCUACUUGGAUAACUGUGGCAAUUCUAGAGCUAAUACAUGCAAUCAAGCUCCGACCCUCGCGGAAAGAGCGCUUUUAUUAGUUCAAAACCAAUCGCCGUUCGCCCUUCGCGGGGUGGCGGCGUCCCGAUUGGUGACUCUGGAUAACUUUGUGCUGAUCGCAUGGCCUUUGCGCCGGCGACGCAUCUUUCAAAUGUCUGCCCUAUCAAAUGUCGAUGGUACGUGAUAUGCCUACCAUGUUUGUAACGGGUAACGGGGAAUCAGGGUUCGAUUCCGGAGAGGGAGCAUGAGAAAGGGCUACCACAUCCAAGGAAGGCA
rnacentral:rRNA from 1 species